rnacentral:rRNA from 1 species
UACGAAGGGUGCAAGCGUUAUUCGGAAUUACUGGGCGUAAAGCGUGCGUAGGUGGUGGUUUAAGUCCGUUGUGAAAGCCCUGGGCUCAACCUGGGAAUUGCAGUGGAUACUGGGUCACUAGAGUGUGGUAGAGGGUAGCGGAAUUCCCGGUGUAGCAGUGAAAUGCGUAGAGAUCGGGAGGAACAUCUGUGGCGAAGGCGGCUACCUGGACCAACACUGACACUGAGGCACGAAAGCGUGGGGAGCAAACAGG